rnacentral:misc_RNA from 1 species
GCAUCAAAUGAAAAGAAGAUAAAUGGGGAGCAUGAUUUCUUAAUGGCAGAAUUCGCUGAGGUUUCUCAACGUGGAAAAGACAAUGGAAAUGUUGACCCCACUUCUAAGAUUUCUCUUAAAACGGUGGCAAAGAAGGUAGGGCCCCUGAUUUCCAAUGAGGGAGCUGCAUCCACAUCUGGAAUUGCUUCACAGACAGCAUCCGGGGUACUUUCAGGUUCGGGCGUAUUAAAUGCUAGACCAGGGAGUGCAACAUCCUCUGGACUUCUUUCGCACAUGGUUU